rnacentral:rRNA from 1 species
UACGUAGGGGCAAGCGUUGUCCGGAAUCAUUGGGCGUAAAGAGCGUGUAGGCGGCCAGAUAAGUCCGCUGUGAAAUCUCGAGGCUCAACUUCGAGCUGUCGGUGGAAACUGUCUGGCUAGAGUCCGGAAGAGGAGGAUGGAAUUCCGCGUGUAGCAGUGAAAUGCGUAGAGAUGCGGAGGAACACCGAUGGCGAAGGCAGCCCCCUGGGUCGACACUGACGCUCAGGCACGAAAGCGUGGGGAGCAAACAGG